CGCACCUUCCCCCACCCCCGGCCUAAUAUCCCUCCCCCGCACCACCCGCCUCCACUCACUCCUCCUCCGCUUCCAGCGCCACCUCGUAUCUCCUCAAUCGCGACAUGUCCCGGGCUCCGAACGGUUCCUGGGGAGCAGCAUGAUACGAACACUUAUUCCCAGCCGCAAGUCCCCUUCUCCAUCCUUCCUAGGACGAGUCUGAAUCGUCCUCAGGAGGAAGAGAGUAAAUAGGGUAUUCUCCCUGAGUUUACUUGAAGACAACAUUUUGGCUUAUUUCACAUGCUACUCAAACUAAUUCAGACUGGAUCAGCCUUUCUAUCUUCAAACCAGUCAGAGACUUCAUUGACUUUGAAGCUGUCUCCAAAACUCCAGUCCAGCCACAAGGAUGCAGAGGUGCAUGGUCAUCAACCACCAGUCCAGACUGUCGCCUAUGAAGGAAGGGUCCAGUCCUAAUGUCCGCCAAGCCUGCUAAUGUCUAACUAGGUACCCAACACAGUGUUAGAAGAUAAGACAUCAGGAGAUACAGUCCCUGAGAUGCAGUCAAGUUGAUAUGAAGAUUAACCAUAAAAAGAAUCACUCAUGAAUGUGAGGCCAGCCUGGACUACAUAGUGAAUUCCAGACCAGCCAGGCUGCAGAAUGAGACUUAUCUCAAAAGCACCCAGAAACUGGAUCUGAGAACUCAGCUUCUUCAGUCCUGGAUGGCCCGAAGACCAGCAGCUCUCCAGGAAUCCUUCAGGCCAGACCGGGACUGCAGAUGCAUCGGACCCCGUCGACUGAGCAGUUGCCUGGCUCUCAGUCUUUCCAGUGUGAAGACAGCAUUGUUGAACUAACCAGAUGAUCCUGUGCAAGCUGGUCUACUGAUCCCCUUCUAAUAAAUAUUAGCGGCGUUCAGUCAUCCACACCCA